GGCCGCGGCUGCAGUGACCGCGGGACUGAGCCGUGUAGCCUUUUCCGCACCCUGAUGCCGAACGAUGUGGCCAAAGGCGACAGAGGGACAGAGCGCAGCAAAUCCUGCAAGACCAGGUCCAUCGGGGAAUUAGUCCUGCCCGGGGGCCCCGUGCGUGAGGUGAGGCAAGUGAAGCCAGCGUCGAAGAUAAACCCGGUCAAACACAAGAGGCAAGAAGGGCUGAAGCGGACCAGCGUGGCUGUGCUCAAGUAUAACCCAGGCUUAGCCAAAUCCCGCCAAACCGACAAACGCAAGGGGUCCUCCAAGAAAAGCUCCAAAGACACUGGCGAGUCACCGCUGUGGAGCAGCGUACACGGUGGAACAGAGGUAUACUUCACUGGCCAUGCCAUCAGACAUUUACAACCACAAUCUCACAGUUCUCCUGAUAAACGCCUGGGUUCAAAAUCCUCAGUGACAAGACCAAAUCAAUUACAGACCAAGCUCCAGCAGCACAAACCUUUCAGCCAACAUCCAGCACCUUGGCCACAACCUCGGCCUCUUAUUAAGAAAUCAGGUGCCUCAACAGAUGCCCUCAACCCUCUGUGAGGUGGCCAUGUGAAGGAACACGGAUUAGGGUGAUAUCAGCUCUCCUUUCUUCUUACCCCGUAGAUGAUCCCCAACAGGAAGACAUUAAAGUGUAUCGUGGACGUUGGCGCUGUCUUCAAUAUCUCUGGGACCAGAUUUGCUGCCAGCCACAGAAGAAAACAACUAUUUUGUAUGAAUGAACAAUUCCAAUGGAGUAUCGUAUUGCUAAGUAAAGAUUGUAAAUGAAAUUA